rnacentral:rRNA from 1 species
AUUGAACGCUGGCGGCAUGCCUUACACAUGCAAGUCGAACGGCAGCACGGGUGCUUGCACCUGGUGGCGAGUGGCGAACGGGUGAGUAAUACAUCGGUACAUGUCCUGCAGUGGGGGAUAGCCCGGCGAAAGCCGGAUUAAUACCGCAUACGAUCUACGGAUGAAAGCGGGGGACCUUCGGGCCUCGCGCUGUAGGGUUGGCCGAUGGCUGAUUAGUUAGUUGGUGGGGUAACGGCCUACCAAGGCGACGAUCAGUAGCUGGUCUGAGAGGACGACCAGCCACACUGGGACUGAGACACGGCCCAGACUCCUACGGGAGGCAGCAGUGGGGAAUUUUGGACAAUGGGCGAAAGCCUGAUCCAGCAAUGCCGCGUGUGUGAAGAAGGCCUUCGGGUUGUAAAGCACUUUUGUCCGGAAAGAAAUCCUUGGCCCUAAUACGGUCGGGGGAUGACGGUACCGGAAGAAUAAGCACCGGCUAACUACGUG